rnacentral:rRNA from 1 species
GACGAACGCUGGCGGCGUGCUUAACACAUGCAAGUCGAACGGAAAGGCCCUGCUUUUGUGGGGUGCUCGAGUGGCGAACGGGUGAGUAACACGUGAGUAACCUGCCCUGGACUUUGGGAUAACUUCAGGAAACUGGGGCUAAUACCGGAUAGGAGCUCCUGCUGCAUGGUGGGGGUUGGAAAGUUUCGGCGGUUGGGGGUGGACUCGCGGCUGAUCAGCUUGUUGGUGGGGUAGUGGCUUACCAAGGCUUUGACGGGUAGCCGGCCUGAGAGGGUGACCGGCCACAUUGGGACUGAGAUACGGCCCAGACUCCUACGGGAGGCAGCAGUGGGGAAUAUUGCACAAUGGGCGGAAGCCUGAUGCAGCAACGCCGCGUGCGGGAUGACGGCCUUCGGGUUGUAAACCGCUUUCGCCUGUGACGAAGCGUGAGUGACGGUAAUGGGUAAAGAAGCACCGGCUAACUACGUG